rnacentral:rRNA from 1 species
AUGGUUGAGUUGUACGACUUUCCAUUUGUGUUGUUCUUUUGUUAUUUGGCGAAACUGAACCACUUCCAGGCCAAGAAGCUAAGGUCGCAAAAUCUUGCCGACAGUGUUUUCAUUGUCAUCGCUCCAAUUGCUAGCACAGAUAAUCGGUGCUCUCCUUGCCUUACCCCUGAAGACGAUGUUCUACUGCCUCCUUACCUGAUUGGAUAUUUUUUUACUAUGCAAUUAAUAUUAAGUAGACUCAAUGAAACAUUUAUUUUUCUGAUCACUGGUUAUUCUGUUAGCAAUUAUAUCAACAAUUUUUCAUGGACCUGGGUGUACCAGAUAAUGCAAUCAGCAUAG